AUUGAACGCUGGCGGCAGGCCUAACACAUGCAAGUCGAGCGGAUGAAGGGUGCUUGCUCCUGGAUUCAGCGGCGGACGGGUGAGUAAUGCCUAGGAAUCUGCCUGGUAGUGGGGGAUAACGUCCGGAAACGGGCGCUAAUACCGCAUACGUCCUGAGGGAGAAAGUGGGGGAUCUUCGGACCUUACGCUAUCAGAUGAGCCUAGGUCGGAUUAGCUAGUUGGUGGGGUAAAGGCCUACCAAGGCGACGAUCCGUAACUGGUCUGAGAGGAUGAUCAGUCACACUGGAACUGAGACACGGUCCAGACUCCUACGAGAGGCAGCAGUGGGGAAUAUUGGACAAGGGGCGAAAGCCUGAUACAGCCAUGCCGCGUGUGUGAAGAAGGUCUUCGGAUUGUAAAGCACUUUAAGUUGGGAGGAAGGGCAGUAAGUUAAUACCUUGCUGUUGUGGCGUUACCAACAGAAUAAGCACCGGCUAACUUCG
rnacentral:rRNA from 1 species